UGUCCUAUGGUGUAAUGGUAGCACUAGAGUUUUUGGUUCUCUCAGUGGUGGUUCGAAUCCGCCUGGGACAA
rnacentral:tRNA from 2 species